AUGAAGAUCGCUCGUGAUAUGGAGACCGAGAUGUAUGGGUGGUUGUUGCCAAGAGAAGGUGCUGGUGGGGCCCAUAAUAGGAAGGGUAUUGGGCCAGGAGGAUACAAGCUUAGUUGGAAAACAAGUUCUGGGUAUCAACAUAACCCGGGUUCGACCCGAGUGGGAAAUGGGUCUACUAAUUAUUUCGGUGGAUCGGUGCAAAGUAAAAUGGGUUUUUCACCAUCUAAUCUGAGUGGCAAUGUGAAUACAAACACUAGCACAACCAAAUCAAGAGGUGACAAAUGA